GACGAACGCUGGCGGCGUGCUUAACACAUGCAAGUCGAACGGAAAGGCCUGCUUUCCCUUGUGGAUUGCGGGUACUCGAGUGGCGAACGGGUGAGUAACACGUGAGUGAUCUGCCCUCAACUUGGGUAUAAGCCUGGGAAACUGGGUCUAAUUCCCGAUAGGACUGCAGGGUGGUGCCUGUGGUGGAAAACGAUUUUCUAGUGGUUGGGGAUGAGCUCGCGGCCUAUCAGCUUGUUGGUGGGGUAAUGGCCUACCAAGGCGGCGACGGGUAGCCGGCCUGAGAGGGUGGACGGCCACAUUGGGACUGAGAUACGGCCCAGACUCCUACGGGAGGCAGCAGUGGGGAAUAUUGCACAAUGGGCGGAAGCCUGAUGCAGCGACGCCGCGUGGGGGAUGACGGCCUUCGGGUUGUAAACUCCUUUCGACCGCGAGGAAGCCACCUGGUUGGAAGGGUGGUGACGGUAGUGGUAGAAGAAGCACCGGCUAACUACGUG
rnacentral:rRNA from 1 species